rnacentral:rRNA from 1 species
ACUCCUGCGGGAGGCAGCAGUGGGGAAUAUUGCACAAUGGGCGCAAGCCUGAUGCAGCCAUGCCGCGUGUAUGAAGAAGGCCUUCGGGUUGUAAAGUACUUUCAGCGGGGAGGAAGGCAAUACGGUUAAUAACCGUGUUGAUUGACGUUACCCGCAGAAGAAGCACCGGCUAACUCCGUGCCAGCAGCCGCGGUAAUACGGAGGGUGCAAGCGUUAAUCGGAAUUACUGGGCGUAAAGCGCACGCAGGCGGUCUGUCAAGUCGGAUGUGAAAUCCCCGGGCUCAACCUGGGAACUGCAUUCGAAACUGGCAGGCUUGAGUCUUGUAGAGGGGGGUAGAAUUCCAGGUGUAGCGGUGAAAUGCGUAGAGAUCUGGAGGAAUACCGGUGGCGAAGGCGGCCCCCUGGACAAAGACUGACGCUCAGGUGCGAAAGCGUGGGGAGCAAACAGGAUUAGAAACCCUUGUAGUCCCA